CCGUCGGCGUCCUCUCUCUCCCCCCGCUCUCUCUCUCUCGUUCUCCUCCCCUGCUCCCCCCGCCGGCACGCCGCCCCCUCUCCUGCGCCCUCCCGCCGGCGCGCCGCCCCCUCCUGCUCCCUUCUCCUCCCUCCCUCCCUGUGGACGGCUCGCCGGGGACGCCCACGCAGGGCGGCGGCAGAGCUCGCCGCGGCUCGACGCGGACGCCCGCGCGGGGCGGCGGCCGAGCUCGCCGCGGCUCACCUGUCCCCAGGUGGCGGGCCUCCUCUGGCAUCCCUCGCCGGCGCACCCCUCCCCGGAGCUCCGGCCAUCCCACGCUCGAGCUCCGUCCGUGGCCAAUCCCGGCGGCACUCGAGCUCGACGCUCCCCUGUCGCGGCGUCCAACCCCCCUCCAUCCAUCCGCCCCGUCCAACCCCCCCUCUCUCCUCCAUCCAUCGAGCUCGGCGGCCCGGCGUCGCGGCGGCCAUGGCCCUCGGCGGCCCUCAAGCUCCGGCGCCGGCUGGAUCCAGGAGCCCCUCCUCCUCGCUGCUCCCUCCGCCGGCCGGAUCCAGGAGCCCCUCCCCUGCUUGGCGAGGCUUGGCAGCGGCCCAUGGCGAGGCAGGGCGCGGCGGCCUCCGCCGGCGGCCAUGGCGGGGCGGCCUCGGCGAGUCCAGGCGGCCAUGGCAGGGUGGAGCAGGCUCCGCGGGGCAGCUCGGCCCCCUCCUCCAGGGCCGGGAUGGGCGCGCGGGCCAUGGAGCUCGCCGCCGCCCCCUGGACCUCGGCGCGGUGGAGCAGGGGCCCAGCCCCCGGCGCGGGCUCGGUCCGCGGGCCGCACCGCCGCGCACCUCCUCACUGCUUCUUCCCCGCGGCGCCCCCCUCCUCGUCGGCGCUUCCUCUACUCGCGCGCGCGCCGCGGUGGCCGGCCCCCUCGGCGGCCUCGACGAAUCCGGCCGCCAUCGCCUCCUCCCUCCUCCGUCCGGGCGUGGCGGUGGCGCUCGAGCUCCGCCCGCGGCGGCGGGGCUCGAGCUCGUCCGCGGGCGGAGCAGGGGCGGAGGAGCAAGGGCGCGCGCGGCAGAGAGCAGGGAGCAGAGCGCGGCCCUCGCGGUGGCGGCGCAGACCGCCCUCCUCCCUCCUCCUCCUCUCUUCUCCCUCCUCCCUCCUCCGUCGCCGGCGUGGGGCCAUGGCCGGCCGCGCGGCGAGACGGCCGCCACCUCUGCUCAUGGAGCUAGGCGGCCGCGGCGGAGCGCUGCGGCGGCGAGCGCGAGAGCCACCAUCCCCGCGCCGCCAUGGCCACCGGCGGCCCUCGCCAGGCGGGGCUCCUGCCUUCCCAGCUCACAAUCCCCGCGCCGCCAUGGCACCGCGUCCAAUUCCGCCCGCCAAUCACGCCUCCUGCCUUCCCAGCUCUCCUUCCCCGCCGCCCCUCCGACGGAAGCAUGCCCUGGCCCUAUCCAUCCAUCUGCGCUGAUUCAGGAUGGCAUCCCCUCCCUGUUCCCUAUUCCCUCCUGGCGCCCGCUGCGGGUUCCUGGCGCCGCCGUGCCCGCUGCGGGCUCCUGGCGCCGCUGUGCCCCGCGCGUGCCGGUUGCAGGCUCCUGCCGCCACCGUGCCCCGCUGCGGGCUCGUGAUACGCGGGCCAGCUGCGGGCUCCGGCCGCUAGCGUGACGCGCGCCGGCAGCGGCCUCCGGCAGGCUCCGGGCUCCGCCGUGACACGCGCCGGCUGCGGGCUCCUGCCGCCGUCGUGCCACACGCCGUGACCCUGCGAACAACCGAUGCUGGGCCCCGCCUCCAGUGAUUGGACCGGAUCUGAGGUCCUGAUUGGUUUCGAGGUGAGCAUCAGUUUUCUUGGUUCACUUUUUUGUUCUUUCCAUUACUGCACUCCAUCAAUCUGAGUAUAUGUCCAUGCCUAUAAUCUGUUCAUAUAUACAUGGCAGUGAUAUUUUUCUUCCUUUAGCAGAUUGAAAUCAUUAUUGCAUAUAGUAGGUUUGGACAUGCUUAGUCAUAUAAUUCAUGGGUUUUUGAUAUUUCCUCUCUGUUCUUUGCACCGGGAGGCUAGAAGAGGAUUAGAGGAAUGCAGUUUCAUGUCGAUUUGCUGUCGCUGGGGAAUUUCGUUGAACACUUCAGGGCAAGGUUCUACCGAGCUUGUCUAGGAAAUCCAAGGGAAUACCUGCAGAGCUGAUUGCAUAUUCUUGUAGCCACGCAUGCAGGAUUAAGUCUGAUGUUUCAUUUGGGUGGCCUCUGGCCAGUUUUUCCUGUUGUUGGCACAUUCUAUGAUCACCACAUCCCAUUUAUAAGUAUAUAAAUGAUGGUCUAUUGUGUGCUUCUAUUUAUUCAUUUAUGCUACUUCAGUGAUGAACGUAUUGGAAAAAUGCCAUAGUGUUAUAGCCUUGCAAGAGGGCUCCAGGCCAUGCCCUUAACAUAAGACUAUAGGUUGUUGCUGAUAUCAUUUGAAACAGUAAUUGUUUCUCAUGGUUUGGACUCUGGAAAUCUUGGCGCAAGUAACUUGGAUAUUUGUACUGCACUUUCUGUCUAUUUUACUUGAGAAACUUGAGCCAUAAUUAGGAAUUAGUAGCAAAGGGGAUGUAAAGCUAGCGAAGGUGCUAAGCUGGAUGGUUGAGUGCAUAAGUUUUGGCUUUGCCGUCGGAUAUGAAAUUUGCGUAUCUAGCAUAUUGAAUACUGAUUGUUCAUAGGAUUGUAUGUCAAAUGGUGCCAUGAUUUUAAUGGUUCUGACAGUCCAUUUUAAUUGAUAUCGUAUCAUCACAACGAGUCCACCCAUUCGAGAAGGAAAUCCCAUCUUUGCUAAACAAGCCAGGGUUUGCAUAGCUUUAUGCUGGGUGACCAAUGCCCAAAAAUGAGUGCUCCAUAUAAUUGGGUUGAUACAGAUGCUCAACUGGAGCAUUUGACAAGAUUCUUGGGCGAGGAAAAGGCUUUGGCUGUUGAUACAGAACAGCAUAGUUUUCGGUCCUUCCUAGGAUAUACUGCACUAAUGCAGAACUCUACCCAGAAGGAAGAUUAUUUGAUAGACACAGUUGCAUUGCAUGAUGUGAUGGGCAUGCUACGUCCAGUGUUUCCCAAUCCUUCAAUGUGUAAGAUAAGAGCACUGGCCGGCAUGUAAGAACUCAUGUUGGGCACCCACGCUGACCGCGCGCUCAACGCAGAUGGGCUGCUGGGAAGUCUGAGGACGCGCCUACCGGGGAUCACACAUGCACACACACCUAUACACACGCACACACACACCCCCCGGCACCCCUCUAGGGAAAAUCCCCGGUGCCACACCCGAGCGAUCCCAGACUGGGAAUCGAACCCGUGCGGGUGGCCUCCACGACGGGAGUGCGCACCACUGCGCCGCAGGCGCGUUGGCAUUGAAAUGUAACUCAGUUGUUCUAUCUGGAUAUGCAUUAGAGAUCUUCCAUGGAGCUGACAAUUAUGUUCUUUGGCUUCAACGAGAUUUUCAUAUUUAAUGUGAAGACUGGGCAAUGCAUUUAAUGUGAUUCUGCAAAGAUUUUCUGUGAAGUGCGGGUAAAAGGUUUGGAGACCUUGGACUAUCUUAGACAACUCGCAAUCCAAGAAUUGUUGUACUGAACAAGGAGAUGCAGUUGUAUUUGAGUCUGAAAUCAAUGACUUUUGGUGUUUUCAUUUGCAUCAAGUGUUCAGGAGCUCAUAGAAGUCUUGGAGUACACAUAUCCAAGGUCUGCAAUCUUGUGUGGUCAAAGAAUGUAAAUGAGCUUGUUAGUACCCACGGAUACUCUCAAAACCAAAUAAUUGUUUGGAGAUAUCCAACAAUGUCUAAGCUUGCCACUUUGACAGGCCAUACAUACAGAGUAUUGUAUCUAGCUAUAGACCAUUGUUACUGGUGCUGGUGAUGAAACACUCUGGUUUUGGAACGCGUUCCCAUCUCCAAACUCUCAGAGUUCUGACAGUUUAAAGUUGCAUCGGAGAAAAGUAAUUUACUUGGCUCAUAAGAUUAUUGCAGGCUUGUAGUAUAUGUUGAUGAUCAUCGACAUCGUUCCAUUUGCAACACCCAUGCCACCAGGUCAUCAACCAUCAAAGUUAGCCGAAUGUUUGAGAUAGCAUGAUGCAUUGCGAUGAACUGGCUUGCGAAUCCAAGCAUGGCUCUUUUGCUGGGAGUGUACAUAUUUAGAGCAGAGUGGUGCUGUAGGAGUGAACAUUGCUGAGGCUUCGAAUAUCAGCAUUGUUCCAAUUGAUAAGAAUAUGCCCUCUUGUUUUUGCUCCCUUUUGCGAGUCAAACCUGGAGCUGUUUCUGUAAUCUGCUAGCAGCUAACGUAUUCAAAACACUUACUAACUCAUGAUGACCAUGUUGGCAUGGUGUAAAAUGAGAAUACAUCUAUUCCAGAUUCAUUGUUACUGUCUUGAAAAGGAGGGCUGAUGUGCCCUGAAUUCACUUGUUUCAUAUUAAGAUUCACCAGAAAAUGAUUGUUUAUUAUUUAA